AUUAUUUUUCAUCCUUUUAACCAAGAUCAAGUGUAAUAUCUGUUCUUGUCAUUUAAAUAUCUGGUACAUCUAUAUCCAAGGAUAAUGCAUGAAACUGAUUUUUGGUGCAGAGAGAUAGAAUAGGGGCUUGCUUCAUCCAUGCCAUGCAUUAAUCUAGUAUCUCAGAACUUUCAGAAAUGAUGUGUACCCC